GCCUGGAUAGCUCAGUCGGUUAGAGCAUGGUGCGGAUAACACCAAGGUUGCAGGUUUAAUCCCUGUAUGACA